rnacentral:tRNA from 1 species
UGGACGCUGGGGUAGGUGCCCACCUCGACCUGCUUGACGUAGGUGCGGGUGACGCCCAGCGGCACCUGGUGUUCGGACUUGCAGGCGAUCGU